AUCGAACGCUGGCGGCAGGCCUAACACAUGCAAGUCGAGCGAGCGGCGGACGGGUGAGUAAUGUCUGGGAAACUGCCUGAUGGAGGGGGAUAACUACUGGAAACGGUAGCUAAUACCGCAUACCACCAGAUUGGCCCAGAUGGGCUUAGCUAGUAGGUGGGGUAACGGCUCACCUAGGCGACGAUCCCUAGCGGGUCUGAGAGGAUGACAAGCAACACGGGAACUGGAACACGGUCCAGACUCCUACGGGAGGCAGCAGUGGGGAAUAUUGCACAAUGGGCGCAAGCCUGAUGCAGCCAUGCCGCGUGGUUGAAGAAGGCCUUCGGGUUGUAAAGCACUUUCAGCGGGGAGGCGUUACCCGCAGAAGAAGCACCGGCUAACUCCGUGCCAGCAGCCGCGGUAAUUC
rnacentral:rRNA from 1 species